UACGUAGGGGGCUAGCGUUGUCCGGAUUUAUUGGGCGUAAAGAGCGUGUAGGCGGCCAGGUAGGUCCGUUCUGAAAGCCCGGGGCUCAACCCCGGGAGGCGGAUGGAUACUGCCAGGCUCGAGUCCGGAAGAGGCAAGUGGAAUUCCCGGUGUAGCGGUGAAAUGCGCAGAUAUCGGGAGGAACACCAAUGGCGAAGGCAGCUUGCUGGGACGGUACUGACGCUGAGACGCGAAAGCGUGGGGAGCAAACAGG
rnacentral:rRNA from 1 species